UCUCCUGAAAAAGGAUUAUUUCAUAUAGAUUAAAUUCAUUAUAUCAUAAAAGUAUUGAGAAAGAGUAGAGGAGAUAAGGAAAAAUGAUGUAUGGCCUAGGAAUAAAGAUGAAAUGUAUAUGGGGCACAGUAGGCAAAAAAAAACACAGAGCAAUUUUGGGAAUGAGGAUGUAAGAAAGGAAAGGACUUUUUCAGCCAUUGCUAGGUUUACAGUUGAAGCAUCUAUAAUGAAAGACAUGUUAACAAAAGAAAAGCAAACAAGUGUAUUUAUUGCAAGUUUCACAUGACACCGAAACCUUUGGAAAUAAAAACCCAAAAGACACAGGGAAAUGUGUGUUUUUUGCGCUAAGUUUGAUGAAUGAAUGGGUAAUCAUGGAGAGAUCUGAUUGGAUGAAAGGGGCAUCAGCAACUGGUAAUAAAAUGGGGAAGAUCCGGAAAAGCCUGCUUGAUCAGUCUUCUCUGUGUCCCUGUUUCAUCCAGAGAUCAUUCCGUUCCUCCCAGCAUAGGGUGGGCACCUCUGGAAGGAGGUUUUAGGACCAACUGCCGAGCAAACUUAAGAGAGAAUCUUGAGGGAAAGGGGCUAAAACAAGGUCUGCGGUAAACAAUGGAUCGGGCACAAGAUUUUAUUUUCAACAGCUAAGAGAAUCUUGAUUUAUAAGUAUCACAGGGAAAUGAUAAAAGUAAAAAUAAUAAAUUAAAUACUUGACACCAUUAUUCCUACAUUUUACCAUAUCUUAAGAUAAAUUCAGAAGUUUUUCUUAGAUCAUAUACCCAAAUUCAUUCAGAAAAGAAAGAGGAAGAAGAAAAAGUAAAGUAAAACCAACAUUCAGCUUCUAUGCUGGGUUAUAUUUUGUUCUGCUUAACUGCUGAGAUUUGCAGGAUAUUGAACCAAAAUUGAUAUUUCCCCUUGAGCCAGACUCUAAGUGAUUUGACUAGAAAGAGAUUGCGUUGUUUUAAGGUCAAGGUGGUUGUUUUCCAAUGUAUGGUGGUUUUGAUUCGUGAUUUUUUCUCAGUCAUAUAAAAGAAAAAGCAGAUAGUGAAAGUAUUUGAUCUUUUUUAUUUGAUUGUUUAGUUUUAUUGAGAAUAAUUGUCUUUGUAAGCAACUAAAGUAAAAAUUAUGCUUAGGUAAAGCAUUAACUACAGAUAAAAUAUGUCCCAAUAACAUUUUUAAGUAAUUUAAUGUUUUUUUGUAAAAAAAAACUAUACUCUUACUAUUUAUCCAUGGUCAUGACUGUAUCAUCAACAAUCAACCUAUUUAGUAAAACUUUACAUUGACUUUGUAUGUUUGAAUUAGUGCAACAUGAAAUGAGAUUAAAAAGCAAGAUAAAAAAUAUUCCUGUGUUCUAGAACCCUCAAGCAUAGAUUCUAAAAUGAUUUGUAAAAUUGGCAACUUAAUUCAUUUAAUUCAUUUGAAUGUAUGCCUAGGUAAUCUUAUAAAUUUAAUCUAGGACUAUCUAAAGUACUUGAAAUUUUGUAAUCCUCAAAGACCUCUGAACAGAGAUCAUUAUUGAUUCAUUUUUAUGGAAGUAAAUAUAUUUUUUAAAUAUUUGUUUUAUUAUGAAUUUCAUUAGAUAAAACUUUCAAAUGUAUGAACAGAAAUUUAACUUAUUUAUUCAUUAAAUUGAUAGCAACAUAAAACAAGUAUAAUUUUCACAAAGUACACUGAUUUCUUUAAAAUAACAUAUUAGGAUAAUAGUUGCUUUUAUAAACUCCUAAAUUAUGGCAUAAAAAUAAAAUUACAUUUAAUAAUCGUAUAUGAGUUCCAUAACAGUAUCACAGCCAGGCACAGUGAUGCAUGCCUGUAAUCCCAGCACUCAGGAGGCUGAGGGAGGAGAAUCACCAUGAGUUCAAGGCCAGCCUGAGCGACACAGCCAGACCUUGUCUCACACACACACACAGAAGUGUAUCACUGAUUAUUGGGUAGGUUUCCUCUUUGUUGUUAUUCAAGAAUCAAGAGUCCUUUCACUUAGGAGCUCUAAAAUUUUCUAGGGACCAAGAAUAUCCUGCUCCAAAAUGACAGAAAAUGAAAAAUAGUAAAGAUAUAUGAAAAAAGCUGUAUAUCAAGGGAGGAGGAAAGUCUACACUUGGUUAGGGUUUUGCUUGGCCAUAGGAACACCAUAGUAUGGAAAUGGAAACGUGUGUGUCUUUUUAGUUUGAAGCAUGCUAAAUUUGAAGACAAAUCCCUAGAUUUUUCCAUAGGGGAUUAUUCUUUGGGAAUUAUUAGUGACUUCCCAGUAUAGAAGAUAUGUACUUAAAAAAAAGAAGAAGAUAUGUACUUAGAUAACUGAAGAAAAGGGAAGUUGUAGUUACAAAAUAGGACUGGUUGAUGGAAAUUCUGUCUUCUUUAGAUCUUCUUGAAUGCAGAAUAUGUACACAUUCCUAUUAUCCAAAUACAAAUAGUACCCAAGUAAGAAAAGCAGAAUGAUAAUGCAUAAAUUUAGGGUGGGUUAACAGAGAAAAAUUGCACAGUUUGUCUUUAAGUUCUAAGUCUGUUUUGAUAAAGUUAUUAAACAUAUCAAAUUUCAUUCAUCAGCUCAUUUAAUGUAAGAUGUAACAAUUUUAAUUGUACUACUUUAAAAUUAACUAUAUUAAGAUGAAUAAUGGUGAAUGGCUCAUACAACUAGUAAUCUAAUGGAGGUUAAAGUAUGAUAUGGCAAUACAAAACCUCUUUAUUCCCAUAAAAAUAAUGAUAAUAUGAAUUUCAGCCAGUAAUAUCAUUAGUAAAUUGAAGGAAUAAAAGUAACUAACCUUAAAUAUUUGCAAUUGGUAGUAUUUUAUAAUAUAUCUGAAGCAAUGUAAUGUUUUGUAGGAUGUGGUCUUAUUCAAGAUUUGACUUGGGAAGAACAUGACAGCAUAUCUUAUAUUAUUAGAGUUCAUGUUGUAGAAGUAUAUGAAAGCUAGGGAACACUGUAUUAUAAUAGAGUACUUCAUGAAGCCUCUGCCCCGCCUUCUUCCCUGGAUAAAUUCAUAGUGAGUAUUUCACAUGAAUUCCAUAAUGAGCUCACCUGGGCUACGUGAACUACUUAUCAAAAGAGGUGAUUUUAUUCAACACCUCAUGUAUUCAGAGGUGUUGCCACUCUAUCAUCAUUUUCCUCAAGCAUAAACUGUUUUAGUGGUACAUAUGGAGUAUAGAGUCAAUGAACUAGUUUGGCAUUAUAUACUUCAUUUCAUAUUACUUUUUGUUACAUCAAAAUGGGACUGUUCUGAUAGGGCCCACUUUCUUUCAAAGAGAUCAAGAAAGAAAGAAAAGAAAGAAUAUAUAGAACAAUGUUAUUGCUUGGUUUGAAACAGUCACUAAUUUAACCAGUCAUUCUGCUUUGUUUCAGUUAGUCUGCACCAUAUCCUGGGUUGUACAUAGUAGUAUUGUCUACUUUUAUAGAUGAGCUUUGCAGAAAUGAGAGUACUUCCCCACGGUGAAAUGGACUGAUGAGUGCUGAAGUAAGAAUUCAGAUUUCAGUAGUGUUACCUCACAGUUCCAUAUAUUGUUACCUACCACACUAAACUCUCAAUGAAUCAUCCUGAAGCUGGCAGACUGAGAAAAGAAUAUUGGAUUUUGUAAAGUGGCAACUUUCUUCUAGAAAACUGGAUAUCAUUCUUGAGGAAAAUGACUUUGGGCUAUAUGCAAAAUGGUCAUUUUAUCCCUUAAUGUGAGGCAGCUCCAAGUUUGUAUCGGCUGCAUGAAGAUACAUAAAAAUAUUACACAGAAUUUUUUGCAGAAAAUGUAAAAGAAAAAAAGAUAUGACAUUUUAGACAAGGAAAAAAAACUGUAAGGAAAACAAAAAGAUCAGUUGUUUCCAGGUUAUGGAACAUGGAGGGAGGAAGGGUUGAACAGGUAGAAUACAGAAAAACUUAAAAGUACUGAAAUGAUUCUGUGUGACCUGCAAUGAUGAAUACAGGUCCACUACACAAACCAAAUCCCAAAGAACUGUACCACACUCAUGUAAGAAUGAACACUAAUGUAAACUAUAGGGAUUAGUUAAUAAUAAUGUACCUACAGGGGUCCAUUAAUUUUAAUAUGUGUAACACACUAAUGAUAGGAGAUGCUGAGUCAGGAAGAAAGGAGGCAUACGGGUAACCUAUAUUAUCUACUCAAUUGUCUGUAAAGCUAAAUGUGCUAUAAAAAUAAAUGCUAUUAAUUAAUAAGAGUCAAAACUUGCACUCUAUGAGUGAUCCUAUGACUAUAAUUGUGGAUCUUUCAAGAAACAGAUGACUAAUUUCAGAAUAAUUGUAUCAUUUCUAUUCUGUUCAAAUAUCCAGAAAUCUCACAGAUUCACUCAUCAUAGUCAGAUCUCAUAAAUGUCUUUCUUCUGUUAUCUCCAUAUAAGCACUUUGCUGUGAAUUCUGGGUGAAUAUAAUACUCUUUCUUGCCUCAGUUAUACCAUCAUUAGAAUCUGAACACCUAUAGAAAACACCAUCAGCAUUUUUAUGCCAAUAGGUGUAUAACUGGAGAGAGUUUGGAUGAUUUCACCAAAUGUAGAACUUGUAAGUACACAGAAAAGUAUACACCCUGUGUUUCUUACUGUGCUAAUAAUGAUGCCGCUCUAUUUUCCUGUGCCUAGUUAGCCCUUCUUAAUAAACUGACAUUUGAGAGAAAUCUUUACUUUCAAUUUUAAACACAAAAUAGCUUCUAAUGGCCAAGGGAAAAAGAGGUAGGUAAAUACUGCUAUUUCUUGUGGAAUGGAAUGUAGUUCUUUUCUGCAUUUUUUCCCCAGUAGUAUAGUCACAGUUUGAGGAGAAGAAAAUGGCUUUCAAAGCUGAGAAGAUCAAAGGACCUGUAACUAUGCUUUUUCCACACAGCUACAGUGCCAUUGAGACCUCACUGGGAACAAGAGCAGUAGGAGAGAAAUCAGAUAACGAUAAUUAGAGAAAGCAGAGCCAUUCCUGUAGUCAAAAUCAUGAAUCGCUGACUCACUUGUGCAAGAGGAAUGUGCUUCUCCAGUUGGGAUUUUCUAGGGCUGGUGACUUGGCUACCCCACAAAUGGACACGUUCCUAUUCAAAACUGGCUUAUGCAAGUUACUUGGGCCUUUUAAUAUCUACCAUUUCAGAAUGACUGGGCUUAUUAGGUUCUUAUAUCUCUUUAUAAUUAAGCAGGCAAUUUUACAAAGCAUAGUUUUGGAAGAUGACCAUAUACACCAUGGAACAGGAUUGCUAUAUUCAAAUUCGUGGUGAUAUGAGGAGAUAGAUAUAGUCACAAAUGGCUUAUUGGAAGUCUAUAAUUGAAAUUUGUAUAAGCAGUAAGAAAAAAUUGAUGAACAUGAUAUUAGUAAAUUCUUUAGCCCGAAUAGAUUUUCUCUGUUUGUACCUUGACUUUGUUUUCUGUAGUGGAGAUAGUGGUAUCAUUUUCUGUGCUAACCUGUCUCUUGGUGUUGUCUCCUUUUUCACCUUGGAGUCUUGUUGACAUGAGAGUGAUUGCUCUCUGCUGUUAAUUUUUACACAUUAAGUUAAAAUCUCAAACUUUGGUCUUUAUACAAAACAAAUUCUACAGAUUCUCUCACUUACUAUUUAACUGUGUCAUUAUCUUGCUGCUACUCUUAAUAAUGUUUGUUCCAGAUUCUACUGUACUAUGAUCUGUAAUAGCACACUUCUCCUUAAAUAUUCGACUGCAAUUCUUUAUGGAUAUCAUGAAAAACUCUUCAGUAUAGCCAUUGUGGAGAUUAGGGAAGCCAUAUGUGAUUUUAAAUGGAGGGAAAAACAAAAAUUUCAAGAUUUAUUGUCAAUAGGAAGACAUUUUUUCCAUAUGUGUAUAUAUAUUCCAAUAAACUGUGCUAAACUAAGAAUAUUUAUGAUAAAAAUACAAUUGAGCACCAUGUUAUUUUUUCUUUUUAUUAUUAUUAGAAGAUUGUACAUCUUCUCUUUAUGCUCUUUGUCUCAUGCAACUUUUUUUUUUAUUAGCACACAUUUGCCAUACCUAAUGAUCACAUUUAUCAUGGGGGAUUUGUACCUGUAGAUAAAAUAUUUUAAUAUUUUGGUUGCCAUUUCCAUCCUCUCCCAUCAAUGUUUCUUUCCCUCCCCAUUUACAAAACUUUGUUUCCAUUUUUUCUUACAUUUUCUGUUUUUAACUCCAUUUUUCUUCCUUCUUUCCUUUUCUCCUCUUCCGUCAUUUGCUCACCUUUUUAUUUAAACAAGUUUUCCUACUUCCCAAUAUCUGUCCUCCUUUUUGCUCCUUAUUUACCCUUUGAGUUUCUCACACAAGAGAAACAAUGCAAAAGGUAAACUUGUAUGUCUAGGGCCGGGGAUUUAGCUCAGUGGUUUCUCCGCCUGCUGUGCAAGCGCAAGGGCCCGAGUUCGAUCCCCAGUACAAAAAAAGAAAAAAAAAAAAAAAACUUGUAUGUCUGACUUAUUUCACUUAAAAUUAUUGUCUCAGUGUGCAUCCUUUUACCUAAAAAUAUCUCAUCUAUCCUUCGUUAUGCCAGAGUAGUAUAGUAGUUAAUUGUAUAUAAAUACCACAUUUUCUUUAUCCAUUCAUUUGUCAAUGGGCAUAUGAGCUAUUUUCAAGAUUUAGUUAUUAUAAAUUGUUCUGCUAUAAAUAUGGAUAUUCAUAUAUCAUUCUGGUAUGAUGCUUUUAUGUCUUCCAGGAAGAUAACUAGAAGAAGAGUAUCUGGGUCAAAUGGAACCUCUAGUGUCAGUUCUUUGAGGACUCUGCAUACUAAUUUCCCUAGUGGUUGUACCAAUUUACAUUCCCA
rnacentral:lncRNA from 1 species